rnacentral:misc_RNA from 1 species
AAGUCGUAACAAGGUUUCCGUAGGUGAACCUGCGGAAGGAUCAUUAACACGUAUCCACGUAUCAACCAACCCGAGAAUAGUUUUCAACUUCUCCCUCAAUUACAGCGAAUGAAUCGGAGUCGACAGUAGAGAUAGAGUGGGGGCCUCGAGCCCUUCUACUGUUCAUUACUUAGGUUUCGGCCUAGACGAUAGUAUCAAUGUAGAGGCACCUUUUCUUAUUGCGCUGGCUUCCAACUCUGUUGGCCCGAUAGGAUCUUACCAAAAACUUAUUUCACCCGCUUUUUGCUAGUUGACUUUUAUAUGUUGUUCUUUACGCAAGUAUGGAGCACACGUUUAAUUAUUUGAACGUUAAAAAUACAACUCUUAGCAAUGGAUAUCUUGGUUCUC